rnacentral:rRNA from 1 species
CGAGGUUAAGGACUGAAGGUCCGGAGCCGAAGCGAAAGCGAGUCUGAAUAGGGCGUUUAGUCAGUGGUUGUAGACGCGAAACCUUGCGAUCUACCCUUGAGCAGGUUGAAGGUUGGGUAAAACCAACUGGAGGACCGAACGAAUAAGCGUUGAAAAGCUUCUCGAUGACUUGAGGGUAGGGGUGAAAGGCUAAUCAAGCUGGGAAAUAGCUCGUACUCCCCGAAAUGCCUUUAGGGGCAGCGUUGUAAUUAAGAGUCUACUGGAGGUAGAGCUACUGAUUGGAUGCGGGGGCUUCACCGCCUACCAAAUCCUGACAAACUCCGAAUGCCAGUAGUAUGAUUUACAGCAGUGAGCGACCGGGUGCUAAUGUCCGGUUACGAGAGUGGAACAACACAGACCAGCAACUAAGGUCCCCAAGAGUAUACUAAGUUGAUCUAACGAUGUUUUGCUGCAGAGACAGCUAGGAUGUUAGCUUGGAAGCAGCUAUUCAUUCAAAGAGUGCGUAACAGCUCACUAGUCGAGCGGCAAAGCGUGGAUAAUAAACGGGCAUCAAGUAUACCACCGAAGUUCUGGGCACGAAAGUGCGGUAGGGGAGCAUUCCAUUCCGCGUUGAAGCCGAACCGUGAGGUUUGGUGGAGUGUAUGGAAAAGCAAAUGUAGGCAUGAGUAACGAUAAUGCGGGAGAGUAACCCGCACACCGCAAGACCAAGGUUUCCUGAUCAACGCUAAUCGGAUCAGGGUUAGUCGGGUCCUAAGGGUAAGCCGAACGGUGAUCUCGAUGGAUAAUCGGUUAAUAUUCCGAUACUGACAUAUACCUCGAUGGAGAGACGAAGGAACGUAAGUGCCGCCACCUGACGGAAUAGGUGGUUAAAGGGCUUAGGUAUAGGGGCAGAUUAAGAGUUAGUCCUUGCUGAAACCUGACAGUACAGAGAGCCUACGGGCAAUUUGAUAGUGCACCCAAGUCGACUUCCGAGAAAAUCUUCUAAGUUAUAGUAUAUGUCACCCGUACCGUAAACCGACACAGGUGGUCGAGGAGAGUAUCCUAAGGUGCUCGAGUGAAUCACGGUUAAGGAACUAGGCAAAUUAACCCCGUAACUUCGGGAAAAGGGGUCCCUACGCGAGUAGGGCGCAGCGAAGAGGUCCAGGCGACUGUUUAUCAAAAACACAGGGCUCUGCAAAUUCGAAAGAAGACGUAUAGGGCCUGACACCUGCCCGGUGCUGGAAGGUUAAGAGGAGAUGUCAUCGCAAGAGAAGCAUUGAAUUGAAGCCCCAGUAAACGGCGGCCGUAACUAUAACGGUCCUAAGGUAGCGAAAUUCCUUGUCGGGUAAGUUCCGACCUGCACGAAUGGUGUAACGAUCUGGACACUGUCUCAACCGUGAGCUCGGUGAAAUUGUAGUCCCGGUGAUGAUGCCGGGUACCCGCAACGGGACGAAAAGACCCCGUGAACCUUUACUAUAGCUUAACGCUGAAUUUGGGUACACAAUGUGUAGGAUAGGCAGGAGACUACGAAGCGGGCACGCCAGUGUUCGUGGAGUCGACGUUGAAAUACUGCCCUUUGUGUACUUGAGUUCUAACCCUCGAGAGGGGACACCGUUUGGUGGGUAGUUUGACUGGGGUGGUCGCCUCCAAAAGAGUAACGGAGGCUUCCCAAGGUACCCUCAGCACGAAUGGUAACCGUGCGUAGAGUGCAAUAGCAUAAGGGUGCUUGACUGUGAGACCAACAAGUCGAUCAGGUGCGAAAGCAGGGUAUAGUGAUCCGGUGGUUCUGCGUGGACUGGCCAUCGCUCAAAGGAUAAAAGGUACUCCGGGGAUAACAGGCUGAUCGCCGCCAAGAGCUCAUAUCGACGCGGCGGUUUGGCACCUCGAUGUCGGCUCGUCACAUCCUGGGGCUGGAGAAGGUCCCAAG